UUUAAUUCCUUCAACAUUUUUUCAACAGAAGGGAGCGGAACAAUUUUCACCGCCUGGUUGAGCGAAGGCUCGAUGUAAAUAAACUUUUCCUCUGUGACGGUGGACAUGAGGAAGAAUGGAGGACUUGAACACCAGCCGCUUGGUUGUUUGUCAGCCGGUUUAACGGCUCAUUUUGUGACCGUGAAAGAUUUGGUGGUGCUGCGGUGGAAGUGGACGGAGCGUUUCCAGCCGCGGCGGACUCACUGUGCUGCCGUGCCGUGUCAGCUAGCUGGUGCUGCUCGGUAGUCUGGUCGCUCGAAACCCACAUCCUGGACUACAUCCUGCUCGUUACAACAUGUUGCUUCCAUGCAUUGUUUUUCACGAACCCUUGAAAAAACAGAAGCAUCCAAAAAAAGCAGAUCAAACAGGUGUUAUACACUUUAUUGCUUUUAAAAAACGUAUUUCUUUUCAGAAAUCUAUUCAUGUUUGGGGAAGGGACAUUCUUUUGGAGUUGCCAUGGAAGUACACAAAGAAUCUAUUGUAUGGAAGGGAUCCUUGUGGGGAUCAGAGGGCUGCUAUCAGCUUUAACUAAAACAGCUUUUUCAAAGGGAGUCAGGCACAGAGUUCCCUCACUCAGAGUCCUCCACUGACCUCUGGACGAAGGUACUCCAACCGAAGAGACUUGGGCUCCAUGUUGGGCUUUCAGCGUGUCCGCUAAUGUACUGUAAAUGCAGAGGAUGCAUUAUGUGUCCAGUGACAUCACCCCACUCAACUAAGGCCGCCGAUGAUUCCAUCAAUCAGAUGGCUUGAAUCAUGCUGUAGCAAGGAAAUGUGUGCAUGGCUGCUUUGUGUGAGCGUGAGAAUUUCCUGUUUUUGUGUCUUGAGAAGAGAAUACAGAGGAGUUGUUGGUUGCUUACUGUAAAUCUGUACACUUAUUGUCUGCACAGUCAGAGUCUUUUCUUCAUUUGAUCUGUUUUCUGCAUUUAUUUGAUUAAGGAAGUCUCAUUAGGUUAGAUGAUGAGUCACAGGACAAUAAUCAGAGAAACCAUUUCCACAUACAUAGAAUUGCAAUAAUGAUGCAGAUUAAGAGUGGGUACACUCCAGGGACCAUUUUAUCAUUUUUAUCAAAAUAAUGGAUAUCUAUAAGUGCAAACAGUAACAAACAUUUUAACUGAAGAGUGAUUUUCCAUCCUGAUUGUUCAAUUACGCAGAGCAGUAAAAUCUGGCCACCAAGCAUUUGCCUUGAACACAUAUGGGACUAUUGUAGUGCUUAAUUAACCAGUUAAUCAUCAGAAAGUCAAUCUUCCACAAUUCUUCCGGUCUAGUCAGCUUUCCCAUUUCCCGUCCAGUGGUCAUGAGUCCCUGAUAGUCGGUUUUCAAAGUGGCUAUUUUCUGCCAGAAAUGUGCAUGGCUCCUGCGAAAAGCAGACUCCAUCCUCAGAUAUUUGACCAAAGAGCAGCAGGACUGCCUGCACAAUAUCAAAGUGGACUCUAAAGUUUUGUUUCAUGUCCUUUGAGUGUGUGUGUGUGUGUGUGUGUGUGUGUUCGUGUCUGGGUUGAUAAGCCACACAGGCUAUCCAUUACAUAGAUUGUGGCCCCAUAUGAGCUGUAUGGGUCCUUGUUUAGUGUGUUAUUUACGUUGCAUUGUGAGCCAGGUGUGCACAGUUACCAAGUCACAUGAUGAAAUAAAUACAUAGGGAUAUUAAUAAACAGAUACAAGCUUUCUGAGAUGCUGAAUAGUGUAGAGGCCUCCCUCUGUUAUUGAUAAUGGAGACCAUUAGACAGCAUUUCUAUUGAUUAGCUUCCUUACAAAGACACUCGUUAAAGCAGUCAUGAAUGCUUCAGUGAAAGUACAUGAAAGAGCCACUUAUACACAUUACUUACACAUAAUGUUGAACAUGCAAUACAACCUAGCGGAAACCUUAAUUAUCAGAAAUGAUGUUCAUAUUGCAGCACAUGAUUUACCCUUAUCCAUAUUUUAUUUGCCAUAUCCACGAUCUUUCUCAAGCUUUAAUGAUACCUCAACCUUACUGUAGAUUCUGGAUCGUUGUUGUUACACAGAGCACUUUGCUAUUUGCUUUUGACUGUCUUUAUUUGGAAUAUUUUGUUGUGUAUACCUGACGAUUGCCACAGACACAUAUAGAAUUUCCUUAUGGACAAUAAACUAUACUAACUCUA